UACGUUCCCGGGCCUUGUACACACCGCCCGUCACGUCACGAAAGUUAGCAACACCCGAAGCCGGUGGCCUAACCCGUAAGGGAGGGAGCCGUCGAAGGUGGGGCCAGCGAUUGGGACG
rnacentral:rRNA from 1 species